UAAUUCCGUGCCAGCAGCCGCGGUAAUACGGAAGGUGCAAGCGUUAUCCGGUUUUAUUGGGUUUAAAGGGUGCGUAGGCGGCUUAUUAAGUCAGUUGUGAAAUCCUAGUGCUUAACGCUAGAACUGCAAUUGAUACUACUAGGCUUGAGUUAAGAAGAGGUAAGCAGAAUUUAUGGUGUAGUAGUGAAAUGCUUAGAUAUCAUAAGGAAUACCAAUAGCGUAGGCAGCUUACUAGUCUUUAACUGACGCUGAGGCACGAAAGCGUGGGGAGCAAACAGGAUUAGAUACCCUGGUAGUCCACGCUGUAAACGAUGAUCACUCGAUAUACAUGAUGCUUCAUGUGUGUCUAAG
rnacentral:rRNA from 2 species